rnacentral:snRNA from 1 species
CAAAACAAAAUACAAGGAUCUU